UACGUAGGGUGCAAGCGUUGUCCGGAAUUAUUGGGCGUAAAGAGCUCGUAGGCGGUUUGUCGCGUCUGCCGUGAAAGUCCGGGCUCAACUCCGGAUCUGCGGUGGGUACGGGCAGACUAGAGUGAUGUAGGGGAGACUGGAAUUCCUGGUGUAGCGGUGAAAUGCGCAGAUAUCAGGAGGAACACCGGUGGCGAAGGCGGUUCUCUGGGCCGAUACUGACGCUGAGGAGCGAAAGCGUGGGGAGCGAACAGG
rnacentral:rRNA from 1 species